rnacentral:rRNA from 1 species
UCAAAAACAUUGUUUUUUGAAUAUUAAUUUAAAAUAGGUUCUGCUCAAUGAUUAAAUGUUAAAUAGCUGCAGUAUUUUGACUGUACAAAGGUAGCAUAAUAAAUUGUUCUUUAAUUGGGAACUUGAAUGAAAGAAUUAAUGAAAUUUAAACUUUUUUAUAUUAAAAUUAAAAAUUUUAUUUUUAAGUAAGAAAGCUUAAAUAUAAAUAUGGGACGAGAAGACCCUAUAGAAUUUUAUAAAUAUUUAUGUUAAUUUAUUAUUUAUUUAAUUUUAAAUAUUUAUUUUAUUGUUUUGUUGGGGUGUGGGAGGAAUUUAUUUAA